UCUCUGUCAUCACUUUAUCGCAACAAAAUGGUCUGUGUUUCCUGCAUCGUGAUUCCAUUUGUUCUGUGGGUUUUUAACAAAUUUAUCCGACCAUACGUAUCCAAAUUUCUUCCAUGGUUCAAAGAAUCCCCGGCUUCUUCCAGUCCUCCUAAAACAGAUGGCGAUUCAACAAAAUCUGACGAACAGGUGACGAAUGGUUCUUGCAAGUUUGCAGAAAUGUUUUCAAAUGGAAAAGCUGAUAUACCUAAUGGACAUCCUACUACCACAGAAGUGGGUGGUGGAAAUAAAAAGGACAAUUGAUACAGACACUGUAUAUAUACCAGUCUUUCUUCAUUUUCUAAUUUAUACAAAAAUCAAUCACUUGGCACAAUAAAGAUUUAUCCAACAGAAAUUGUCCCUGUCAAGAAUUACUAAAAAAAUCUAGAGCCUGCUGUAUAUUCCUUCCACGUGUGACAUCAUGAGUUGAUCAGCAAUAUAUCAUACCGAGAAUGGAUCAUUACACACCAACAUUUAUUUCUACAUCAUUGAUUCUGAGCUGUCAAACUUGACCACUACACAGUGUUGGACAUUGGGACUGGACUAAUUGAUAAAGGAUAUCAUUCCUCAACAAAUUCAAAUCAGAAUUUCAAUUUGCAUUUGUUGAAAGAGUACAUUAUUGCCAAGGAAAAGAGUUUUAAUUACUUAGCAGACAAUUUUGUGUCGAAGUUUUUUUAAACAGAUUUUAAUUGAAAACAAAAUUAAGAAAAUCUUAAAUAUUUCCCACAGAAAAAAGGUUUAAAUACUAGAUACAGAAAUAGUAUUUUGUAAAAGCAAUAUUGAAAAUAUACUUCGUUAAGAAAAGCAUUAACUUAUAACUGAAUCGUUGACCUGCAUUCUGUAGUAUCUGGUCAGACCUCAUUUUAAAAAAUACUCGAAACAAACCCGGAUUUGCAGUUUAACAAUGUGACUAAUAUAUGUUUGCAAGUAUUACCAUGCAGCAGAUGAUCAGUCUAUCGGUGUAUAAGUACUUCAAAUAACAAGACAAGUCAUGUUCUCUAAAACCAAUUAUUUUACCUUGCAUAGCUCAAAGUGUCAGUGAUCUUGUGGUAAUUCUGGUAUUUUGAAAAAAAAAAAUCUAGGAAACUAAAGCAACUUGAUGCAAUAUUUGGCCAGGAGAUAAUCAGCGAUAGAAUAAAUUUCUUGUUUUGUAAAUUUUAUCAUGUAAAUGACCUUAAUCUAUAAAACUCCCAGUCCUGAUAUUUUGCUAAUAUGUACCUAUGGAUUAAGUGCUAUAAAGUUCCCUCAUUUGAAUAAUGAAGGGCACUGGCCUAUUUCUAGGUCACUAGGUUUAAGUAUAUCAAAGUCCUUUAAGAAUCUCCUGAAGUUUCAGAUGACCAAGGGGACUAAUAAUUUGCCAGUAGGUACAUUCCUUGGAGUUUUCUCAAAGAAGUGACAUCAUUUCAAGGUUAUACAGGUCUGAUUUGUUGAAAAAAAAUGAUAAAAAACAGAGUUUUUCUGGUAAAUUUUGAACAUAACUUUCAUAACUUGUUAUCGCAAUACAUUUACAUUUGCUUAUGUCAGAAUUAUCGUUAAAUGCUGAACCAAAAAAAAUAAAAUACAAUUAACCAAUAUCCUUAGUACAUUGAUCUCCUUUGAGAACUGUUCAUCUUAAAACAUAAUGAUCUGAUAGAAAAUUGCUUGAAUUUAAAGGGGUUUUACUCGAGGUAUGAAGAAUAUUUCAGAUAUGGUUCUAUAUAUUUCAUAUAAGCAAAGAUCUGUGAUGCUGCACCCCUUCAUCAAUCAACCACAGGUAUGUGGUUGAUAGAUAUCAUCCAUCACUUCACCACACCAGAUCAGUGUGUUUGGUUAAUUUGUACAUAUACCCCAGUAAAAGUCUGUUACAUGGACAAGGUAAAAUGAAUUACUUGUAAUGAAACAACCAUUUAUAAUAAAACAUAUUCUAUUGUUAACAGGGAAUGUGAUAAGUAUAUGCAUCUUCUAGAUUAUACAGUAUUUCUAUUGCAAGGUAAAUGUUUUGUUCUGUGUAUGAUAUAGGAGAUAAUAUUCAAGUCAUAAAGAUCUACGCUAUGUGGAAAAUAGACAUAUUGUGUAUUUAACUGAAUUUGUUGUACAUUUUUUUAGUUGUGAAAAUAAAAUAUUCCAGAAGUGUU